rnacentral:rRNA from 1 species
CCUACGGGAGGCAGCAGUGAGGAAUAUUGGUCAAUGGGCGCGAGCCUGAACCAGCCAAGUAGCGUGAAGGAUGACUGCCCUACGGGUUGUAAACCUCUUUUGCCGGGGAGCAAGGGCCGGGACGAGUCCCGGUCCGGAGAGUACCCGGAGAAAAAGCAUCGGCUAACUCCGUGCCAGCAGCCGCGGUAAUACGGAGGAUGCGAGCGUUAUCCGGAUUUAUUGGGUUUAAAGGGUGCGUAGGCGGGCUUUUAAGUCAGCGGUAAAAAUUCGGGGCUCAACCCCGUCCGGCCGUUGAAACUGGGGGCCUUGAGUGGGCGAGAAGAAGGCGGAAUGCGUGGUGUAGCGGUGAAAUGCAUAGAUAUCACGCAGAACCCCGAUUGCGAAGGCAGCCUUCCGGCGCCCUACUGACGCUGAGGCACGAAAGUGUGGGGAUCGAACAGGAUUAGAUACCCCAGUAGUC